ACACGGGGUGUCUGGCGAUUGUGUUUCGCUAGGGCUGAGAUAACACCCGUCGAACCUGAUCCAGUUCAUACUGGCGAAGGGAUGUC
rnacentral:ncRNA from 1 species